UUCAUUCGCUACGAGAACCCCCCUAAGUAAGCAAACUGGUAGUUGGACGAUUUUGCUGGGUACACACGUGUGCUAUACAGAGGAAAGUAGGUUGGAUCGUCCCCUUUCAAAUCUUUUAAUCAGUAUGUUGGUACUGUUAACUUAAGAUAUUGAUGGGAUAAAACAAUGUUACUUCAAAUUGCACUGGCUGAGGGUGAAAGAUAGUGUAGCAUUUAAAUGUUGUUGUUAUUUAUAAGGGUAAUUCACAAUCUUUUUUCCAAAGCCACCAGUUUUAGGGAAGGUUAAGAUGGAACAGAGCAAAAAUUUGCGUCAAAAUAAAAGACAUUUUAGAGAUAAUUGAAGACAAAGUGCUGAAGGAAUUAAUGGAUGUUAUGUUUAAAAGUGUUCGGUAUCCAUAGAAACCCGAUUAAUAAGCAGUAUGCUGUGGCCUUCUCAGGAUGGGGGAUGAGUCUUUGCAAGGAUGUCUGUGAGAUUGUGUGUACUGGUACCAAAUGUUACAAAGUUGCAGGCCAAUAAAUCUUAAACACAGUCUAUGUUUUAAACAGGCAUGUUUGUCAAGUCUUCACAUGAAGCUUUAAGUGAGGAUCACAAGGACAUAAAACAUAUAAAAAAUGUGUUAAAAGCAAUGUGAUGUCAGAGUUCUGUGUGCAUAAAAUUGAUUUAAAAAAGUAGAAAAUUGAA